rfam:Hordeum vulgare subsp. vulgare, WGS project CAJW01000000 data, contig: morex_contig_1582714
GUAAUACUCCCUUCGUCCGGAAAUAUUUUUCAAAGAAAGGGACGUAUUUAGACUUAUUUUAAUUCUAGAUACAUCCUUUUUUAUCCAUUUCUCGGAUAAAUAUUUCUGGACGGAGGGGGUCGUUA